UCAAAGAUUAAGCCAUGCAUGUCUAAGUACACAGACUAGUAAUCUGAAACCGCGGAUGGCUCAUUAUAACAGCUAUGAUUUGAGAGAUUUAAUCUUUAUUGCUACAAGAUAACUGUGGUAAUUCUAGAGCUAAUAUUUAUUAGAAUGCCGUGACUUCGGAAGCGGCGGAUUUAUUAGAUCAAAACCAAUCUGCUGAAAGGCGGUUAUUUGAUGACUCUGGAUAACUUUACUGAUCGUACGACCUUGUGUUGACGACAUAUCUCUUGAAGUGGCUGACCUAUCAACUUUCGAUGGUAAAGUCAAAGUUUACCAUGGUUACAACGGGUAACGGGGAAUCAGUGUUCGAUUCCGGAGAGGGAGCCUGAGAAACGGCUACCACAUCCACGGAAGGCAGCAGGCGCGCAAAUUACCCAAUACCGGCUCGGUGAGGUAGUGACAAUAAAUAACAAUAUGGACCCUAGUGGUUUCAUAAUUGCAAUGAGAACAUUUUAAAUACUUUAUCAAGUAUCAAUUGGAGGGCAAGUCUGGUGCCAGCAGCCGCGGUAAUUCCAGCUCCAAUAGCGUAUAUUAAAGUUGUUGCAGUUAAAAAGCUCGUAGUUGAAAUUGAGGAACGUGAAUAAUUUUUUCAUCUCGAUGAAUAAUUAUUUACACCUAUAUCGUCGUGUAUAUCAGUUAAGUUCUUUAUUGAAUUUGAUUGGUAACCGACAAGUUUACUUUGAAAAAAUUAGAGUGCUUAAAGCAAGCUUAUGCUUGUAUAUUGUUGCAUGGAAUAAUGAAAUAUGACUUCGGUUUUAUUUUGUUGGUUUUCGAAACUGAAGUAAUGAUUAAAAGAGACUGCCGGGGGCAUAUGUAUGCUGGUGCUAGAGGUGAAAUUCUUAGACCAUCAGCAGACAAACUACUGCGAAAGCAUUUGCCAAGAAUGUUUUCAUUAAUCAAGAACGAAAGUCAGAGGAUCGAAGACGAUCAGAUACCGUCCUAGUUCUGACCAUAAACUAUGCCAACUGACAGUUAGCUAAGGAAAUUUAUUACUCCUUGCUAGAAGUCACCGGGAAACCUAAGUCUAUGGGUUCCGGGGGAAGUAUGGUUGCAAAGCUGAAACUUAAAGGAAUUGACGGAAGGGCACCACCAGGAGUGGAGCCUGCGGCUUAAUUUGACUCAACACGGGAAAUCUCACCCGGUCCGGACACUGUGAGGAUUGACAGAUUGAUAGCUCUUUCAUGAUUUAGUGGGUGGUGGUGCAUGGCCGUUCUUAGUUGGUGGAGCGAUUUGUCUGGUUAAUUCCGAUAACGAACGAGACUCUAACCUGCUAAAUAGUAAAUUUGUGUUUUAUUGCAAAUCUUUACUUCUUAGAGGAAUAAAUAGCGUUUAGCUAAAUGAANUGGAGCAAUAACAGGU
rnacentral:rRNA from 1 species